AUCUUUGCGCUUGGGGCAAUGACGCAGCUAAUGAGGUUCUAACCGAGGCGCGUCUAUUGCUGGUUGAAAACUAUUUCCAAACCCCCUCCUAGGCCUGGGUUCAGCCUUGGCCUUCGAGAAUUUCUGGAAGGGCUCCCUUCGGGGUAAAGCCUUACAAUUUUAGUUCAAUAUUUUUACUCACUUCUAUUUAUUAAAUUAUAAUGUUUUAUAAUUUACUUACUGUCACGUAUGUGAUUAAAACAUCUUAAAUAUAUUAUCCACAUUCAUGAGUACUCUUGUUUUAAUAUUUAUAAAGAAUGUAUCUGGUUUUAAAAAUAUUUAUUAAAU